AGUGAACGCUGGCGGUAGGCCUAACACAUGCAAGUCGAACGGCAGCACAGUAAGAGCUUGCUCUUACGGGUGGCGAGUGGCGGACGGGUGAGGAAUACAUCGGAAUCUACUUUUUCGUGGGGGAUGACGUAGGGAAACUUACGCUAAUACCGCAUACGACCUACGGGUGAAAGCAGGGGAUCUUCAGACCUUGCGCGAUUGAAUGAGCCGAUGUCGGAUUAGCUAGUUGGCGGGGUAAAGGCCCACCAAGGCGACGAUCCGUAGCUGGUCUGAGAGGAUGAUCAGCCACACUGGAACUGGGACACGGUCCAGACUCCUACGGGAGGCAGCAGUGGGGAAUAUUGGACAAUGGGCGCAAGCCUGAUCCAGCCAUACCGCGUGGGUGAAGAAGGCCUUCGGGUUGUAAAGCCCUUUUGUUGGGAAAGAAAAGCAGCAGGUUAAUACCCCGCUGUUCUGACGGUACCCAAAGAAUAAGCACCGGCUAACUUCGUG
rnacentral:rRNA from 1 species